rnacentral:rRNA from 1 species
UACGUAGGGGGCUAGCGUUGUCCGGAUUUAUUGGGCGUAAAGAGCGUGUAGGCGGCCAAGUAGGUCCGGUGUGAAAACUCGAGGCUUAACCUCGAGAUGUCAUCGGAAACCAUUUGGCUAGAGUCCGGAAGAGGAAAGUGGAAUUCCAAGUGUAGCGGUGAAAUGCGUAGAGAUUUGGAGGAACACCAGUGGCGAAGGCGACUUUCUGGUCUGUAACUGACGCUGAGGCGCGAAAGCGUGGGGAGCAAACAGG